AGGUGAUCUGAGAGGCUGUGCUGAAGGAUUUGAUAGAAGGAGUGGCCAAUCAGCCUUUGCUCAAUGAGCAUCCUGUCUCAGAACAGCAGGCUCCAAUUUCCAGCCACAGUAACCGCACUGCUUAGCUGAACACAUGCCUGACACGGUGAGCUCUUGGAUCCCAGCCACCUUCCUCGUGAAGCAGGGCACAGUUGUUACUGGGGCCUUUCCCCGUAGGUUACACGCUGUGUCCCCAUACCUGCAGCUGCACCCUGAAGAACAAGUGCUAAAUUGUGAAUGCAUGCAUUCAACUGGUCUUUUUCCCUUUUGCCCAUCUACAGUUUCUUAUUUUCCAUAAUGGCAGAAUGCUGCUUUUCUGGAGUAUAUUUAAAGUUAUACUUUAAAUAAAUACAUAUUAAUCU